GCAAAGGUAGCAUAAUCAGUUGGCUUAUAAUUGAAGUCUGGCAUGAACGAAGUUACGGGUAGAAGCUAUCUAUAAAAUAUUUUUACUAACUUGGUUAGUAAGUGAAAAAACUUACAAAAUUCAAAUAGACGAGAAGACCCUAGAAAUUUUAAUACGUAGAGCAUUUUUGUUGGGGCGACAGAGUUACAAAGAACUAACUUUAAAGAACACGAAACAGAGGUGAUAGAUAAAAUUACUCUAGGGAUAACAGCAUAAUUUUAUUAGUUUAUGACCUCGAUGUUGGACUAGGGACGGUAUACUUUAGAAGAGUGUACUGUAUGCUCUG
rnacentral:rRNA from 1 species